CAGUAGCCACGGUAAUACAGAGGGUGCGAGCGUUAAUCGGAUUUACUGGGCGUAAAGCGUGCGUAGGCGGCUUUUUAAGUCGGAUGUGAAAUCCCUGAGCUUAACUUAGGAAUUGCAUUCGAUACUGGGAAGCUAGAGUAUGGGAGAGGAUGGUAGAAUUCCAGGUGUAGCGGUGAAAUGCGUAGAGAUCUGGAGGAAUACCGGUGGCGAAGGCGGCCCCCUGGACAAAGACUGACGCUCAGGUGCGAAAGCGUGGGGAGCAAACAGGAUUAGAUACCCGAGUAGUCCCUGUCUCUUAUAA
rnacentral:rRNA from 1 species